GACGAACGCUGGCGGCGUGCUUAACACAUGCAAGUCGAACGCUGAAGCUCAGCUUUUGUUGGGUGGAUGAGUGGCGAACGGGUGGGUAACACGUGAGUAACCUGCCUCCUUCUUUGGGAUAACGCCCGGAAACGGGCGCUAAUACUGUAUAUUCACUGGUCUUCGCCUGGGGGCUGGUGGAAAGGGUUUUUCUGGUGGGGGAUGGGCUCGCGGCCUAUCAGCUUGUUGGUGGGGUGAUGGCCUACCAAGGCUUUGACGGGUAGACGGCCUGAGAGGGUGACCGGUAACAUUGGGACUGAGAUACGGCCCAGACUCGUACGGGAGGCAGAAGUGGGGAAAAUGGCACAAUGGGCGCAAGACUGAUGCAGCGACGCUGCGUGAGGGAUGGAGGCCUUCGGGUUGUGAACCUCUUUCGCUCAUGGUCAAGCCGCAACAAUGGUUGUGGUGAGGGUAGUGGGUAAAGAAGCGCCGGCUAACUACGUG
rnacentral:rRNA from 1 species